UACAGAGGUCUCGAGCGUUGUUCGGAUUCAUUGGGCGUAAAGGGCGCGUAGGCGGUCAGCACAAGUCAGUUGUGAAAUCUCCGAGCUUAACUCGGAAAGGUCAACUGAUACUGUGCGACUAGAGUGCGGAAGGGGCAACUGGAAUUCUCGGUGUAGCGGUGAAAUGCGUAGAGAUCGAGAGGAACACCUGCGGCGAAGGCGGGUUGCUGGGCCGACACUGACGCUGAGGCGCGAAAGCCAGGGGAGCGAACGGG
rnacentral:rRNA from 1 species